rnacentral:misc_RNA from 1 species
AGUCGUAACAAGGUCUCCGUAGGUGAACCUGCGGAGGGAUCAUUUACCAUAAAUUCCAUUGCGCCCCCAAAAGGCCGAGGCAACUCGGCCUUUUAGGGGACUCAAACACUGUGAUACUGCCUUAAUUUUCUUGAGAGGACGUGCCUUGUUCCUCCCUUGAAUGCAUUCUUGAGUGCGGCAGCAAUUCUCGGCUACAAACCAUUUAUUUUUUUAAACGCGUCCGGUUGAUCCCGCUUACCCGGGGUUGACUAGAUAUGAAUUCUAAACACCGUCUCCGAUGGACGACUCGGCUCU